GCCGCGCACAGGCGACCAUUACGUGCCCUUAAACCCUGGUCUACUUGAAUCACAGGGGAUGGAAGUUCCGACAUUAGCAACGGAGAUAUAGUUCACUACCCCACCAGAUGAGUUAUGGGAUAUGCCUUCAUACAACCCAUUUGAACUAUAG
rnacentral:ncRNA from 2 species